GACGAACGCUGGCGGCGUGCUUAACACAUGCAAGUCGAACGGAAAGGCCCUGCUUUUGUGGGGUGCUCGAGUGGCGAACGGGUGAGUAACACGUGAGUAACCUGCCCUUGACUUUGGGAUAACUUCAGGAAACUGGGGCUAAUACCGGAUAGGAGCUCCUGCUGCAUGGUGGGGGUUGGAAAGUUUCGGCGGUUGGGGAUGGACGCGCGGCUUAUCAGCUUGUUGGUGGGGUAGUGGCUUACCAAGGCUUUGACGGGUAGCCGGCCUGAGAGGGUGACCGGCCACAUUGGGACUGAGAUACGGCCCAGACUCCUACGGGCGGCCGCCGUGGGGCCUCUUGCCCCCUGGGCGGAAGCCUGAUGCAGCAACGCCGCGUGCGGGAUGACGGCCUUCGGGUUGUAACCCGCUUUCGCCUGUGACGCAGCGUGAGUGACGGUAAUGGGUAAAGCAGCACCGGCUCCCUCCGUG
rnacentral:rRNA from 1 species